UAAUACGAAGGGACCUAGCGUAGUUCGGAAUUACUGGGCGUAAAGAGCGCGUAGGCGGUCAGUUAAGUCUCAUGUGUAAUCUCCCGGCUCAACUGGGAGGGGUCAUGGGAUACUGGCAGACUAGAAGAUAGCAGAGGAAAGCGGAAUUCCAGGAGUAGUGGUGAAAUGCGUAGAUACCUGGAGGAACACCAGAGGCGAAGGCGGCUUUCUGGGCUAUUCUUGACGCUGAGGCGCGAAAGCGUGGGGAGCGAACCGGAUUAGAUACCCGGGUAGUCCACGCCCUAAACGAUGGAUACUAGAUAUUGGAGGUAUAGACCCCUCCAGUGCCGAAGCUAACGCGAUAAGUAUCCCGCCUGGGGAGUACGGCCGCAAGGCUA
rnacentral:rRNA from 1 species